GGGGGAGCGUGCACGUGGGGGCGGGGCGGCAUGAGUGGGGAUACAGAGCUGGGUGUGCGCAGACAUGCGUACGUACACAUAUAUACACAUAUAUACACACGUACAUAUAUGUGCACAUACAUACAUAUAUACACACAUACAUUCAUAUAUACACACAUACAUGCACACAUAUACAUACAUACAAUAUAUACACACAUACAUACACAUAUACACACACACACAUACACACACGUACAUAUAUACACACAUACAUACAUACACACAUACAUACAUGCACACACAUACAUACAUAUAUACACACAUACAUACAUAUAUACACACAUACACACAUACAUACAUACACACAUACACACAUACAUACAUACACACAUAUAUACACACACAUACACACAUACAUACACACAUACACAUACAUACACACAUACAUACACACACAUACACACAUACAUACACAGACACAUACAUACACACACACGUACACAUAUACAUACACACAUGCAUACACACACACAUACAUACAUCCCCAUAUGUGGGCACACAGACCCACACAUGUACAGGCCAGCAUAUGUAUCCAUACGUGCACACACAGACCACAUAUGUAUCCAUACGUGCACACACAGACCACAUGUGUCCAUAUGUGCACACACACAAACCCACACAUGUACCCCAAUGUCAACACACGCAGACCCACACAUGUGCCCAUGUGGGCACGUUCACAUCCACAUAUGUACCCAUAUGGGCACACACAGACCCACACGUGUCCAUAUGUGCACACAGACCUACAUAUGUGCCCGUAUGUCCACAUACACGGAUCCACACAUCUACUCAGAUGCAGACACACACACUGCCCCACACACGUACCCAUAUGAGCACACACCCCAUAUGUGCACACAUAUGUGCAGACACACAUAUGUGCACAUACACCCAUAUGAGCACACACCCCAUAUGUGCACACACACCCACAUAUGUGCACACACACCCAUAUGAGCACACACACACACAGUGCACACACACAUAUAUGCACAGACAAACACAUAUGUGCACACACCCCCAUAUGGGC
rnacentral:lncRNA from 1 species